rnacentral:lncRNA from 1 species
CCUGCAGGCGUCCCGAGGGGCAGGAUCGUCUCCGGAGCCGACCGUGCCAGGGCUGGGCCACGGAAGGCGGAGCUGCAGCAUGUGGAGGCCCUUUGUGGACAGGUGCACGGGCCCAUCUCUCUCCGAGGCGCUACCUGCGGUUUACUGGACGUUUAUUAGAAGCCCACGCAAUAUCGUGAAGCACCUGCAGGCAAUAAAACCCUUUACAUGUGUGAGGCCUUGAGGAAAUUAACGGCUCCUCCCUGGGGAUGCAUAUUUCGUGAAGAUGUUUAUUACAGAUGAAGUGCUCCCGGGGUGGAACAUUAACAAGUUGUAGAGUGAUAAAAGGAUUUUUAUCCUUUUUCAGUGACAGAGGUAGGAAGAACGCUUUAACGGAAUCUAUAAAAGGCCCACUUCCUAAUGAAUUUUCUUUACUCUUUAUUAAUAGGGUCGGCUGAGCGGAGUCAGGGUCCUUGGAUGGCUGGACCACUGGACAAGGGGAAUGGAGCCGACUGGAGCGGGUGCGGGGCCUGGAUGCUGGACAGAGAACGCGUGAGGACGGUCUGGGUUCGAAUUCCAGGCACUGAAGACCACGGGGAGCCUGGGCCAUUACCGAGAUGAAAGCCGGGAGAAUGCCUUUGGCCCAGGACUGCGGAAUCUAAUUGAAUUAUAUGAACGCAGUUAAACGUCGGCUUCAGAGAGGCAGGCCUCGCUUUCAAGACUGGAUGCUUCAGGAGUUAAUGGGCUAUUUGAACAAUAUAGGCCAAGAGCCGAACACAGCCCUUCUCCCUACUGCGGUCACUGACGUUCCAAGAGGCCAGUCUGAUGGCAUCAGGCCCUGCUGAACAACUGCUGUGGCUCCCCACUGCCCUCAGAGGAGAGUUCAGACUCCGUCUUGGCUUCCGACGUUCUUCCUGUUGCCUCGAGUCUCAUCUCUCACUCUCAUCUUCACGCCUCCUGGGUCCCUCCUCUGCUUGUUGUGGACCGUCAGCCAGGAAUGCCUCCUCCUAACCCCUAGGGACCCCGCUUCUCCCUUACCUGCCAGGCCCAGUUCAAAUGCAGCCUCCUCCAGGAAGCCUUCCUUUUCUGCCUGGAUCAGAUU